GAUUGAUGCGAAUCCAGCUUCCGAUUGCUUAUGCAGAGUUACUUAAGAGAGAAAGAGAGAGAGAAGGAAGAAACAGUGAUGAGAAGAAGAGAGUUAAUUGUAGGCAAAAAAGGUACCAUUUUGUAGUUAUUGUAAUUUAACUUCACGGUCAACAGGUAGUCCGUUAAAAAAGGUCAAAUUUUCUGGGCCAAAUCGAGUUAAGAACGACUUAAGGUUAACGAAAUGUUGCCUGUUACAUGUUGCUCUCGCUGCUGCUUCCCUCUCUUGUUUAUUAGCUUGCUUAACCCGUAAUGGAUUCUCAACCAUUUUUAAGCUGUUGAGGAAAAGAUAGUUACAUAAACAAUAAGGUAUCAAAAAAAUCUGUUUACCUUGUUUCCGGUUAUUAUUAACCUUGUUAUUGAUAUACUUAAAUAUAGUGAAUGAUAAGUAUUAUACUAUUUUCUAAUCAAUUGAUGUGCUCAUUGUGCAUAGCAAUGGGCUUGAGAGUUACAACUCAUUGAAAUGUGGAAAGUGAAAAUGGCAGGUUCAUUGUAGCUCUUCAUUAAUCACAGUUACGUUUUGUGCAUUUCAAGUUGAAAGAUGGCUUAACGGUUUUGGUACAUCAAUCAUAAUCUGGCAGCUACAAAUUGUAAUGGACUAUUGGAAUGGCGAGGAAAAAUGUUUUGUCAAAAACCAAAGUUACAAGCAAGAAACGCGUUCAUGUUCACCAACUUUCACUUUCAUGAUCUAUUCUGAGCUUCUCAUCAUCAUCAAGAUCAUCGUUUUACACUCUUCUCAUCUCUUAAUAAUUAUCCACUUCCGAAAGCUGUUGAACCAAUCAUUACAAAGGCUCUCACGCUCAUCAGACAACAGCCGUAACAUUUGCAAGCUCAAAUCAAGUCAAUGUAACUAACAUAAUUUUUGUCAAUUGCGAACAUCAUUUCCAAUUGAACCUGCCUCCAAAACAAAGAUAAACUCACAGGGGAAAAAGGCUGACAAUUUGUUUUCUCACCUAACCCUCAACGUCAACCAGGGUGUUUCAAUACCAGUCCAAUUUAUUUGUUCAACAUUGAACUGAUUGCUAUGGUAAUUUUGAACCCAGCAAGAUACAAACAUUUUAAAAGAGUCAAAGUUUACAAAGCAGAUGAGAGUUGAAACUCUGCUUAUCCUUGCAUAGUGUGGUCAGUGGUGCCUUUUUUGUCUCCUCUUGGUCCAAAUUGUGUCAAUAUUUGUGCUUCCGGUCAAGCAAUGGCAAGAAAAUAAGAAAAGAAAGUCAAAUCUUUACAUCUUUUCCUCUUACAAAAAAAAUAUCCAACUGAACAUUUUGUCACAUGUUUUUUAAGGGCUUUUACUAUUGACGUUUUUUGUUUACAAGUCAAGGUUCGAAUUACGUUCAAACUGACACAAUAAAUAUCCUUUGGGUUGCAAUUAUUUACCAAUUUGCAGUUGAAUAUCAGAUUAUCAAGUGAUUUGAUCGAAACAUGGAAAGACAACAAGCCGACGAGAGCAAAACUAAAUGGAAGAGUUAACUCUGAAUGAGAUUGAACAAGGACUAAAUGGUUGGCUUGAGUAUAAAUGAGGCGAAAAGGAGUUGUUAUGAUCAGAAAUUUGAAGACGUCUCGGUGGUUUGACUAUUUUCCCCGAUUUUUAAUCAUAAAUUCAACUGAAACAAAUCAGCUGAACGAUGUGUAAAGAAAUACGUUAAUCGAUUAUCCACAAAAAUUAGAAACUGUUUUGCCGUUAUUUUUAGUUCUUAUAGAGAUUGCUCAACUAGCAAGGAAGCCAUCUGAUUAAACAUAACAAUUCCCUGAAGGAAACACUUUCUUCCUUUCCAUCAUCAUUGUAAUCAUGCUGAUUAACAUGUGCAUUGAAUGUAAAGCCAACAAACUGCAACAGAUCGCGAAGUGCGUCUCACCUUAAUCAUCACAAACAUCAUCAAAUAGAUUAUAUGUUUUAAUAAUGAUUCAUAUUGAACCUUUAAUUAAUUAUCAAAAAUAUUGAAAAUGUGCAAUUCUACUGUUUCCAUUGAUUGGUUGGUUAAACGUUAUGGACAAGUUACAAAAUUAAAUGAUUGUACAAUGCAAUGGACAAGGUAAACAAGGUAAAAACACAAACUCAAGUUAAUUUGGUGUUUUGUGACAACAUCUUGCAUCGAUAUGUUAUCAACCAUUGAAUCCAUACAACGUUUAUUUUUCCUUCUUUGGAUGUGAUAAUAAUAAUAAUAUUAAUAAUAAUAAUGUUCCCAACAGAAUUGACGCAGAAAUAAUAUUAUUAAUAAUAAUAAUAGUAACAUAAAAAGUAACCUUUACUAUAAGCUUGGAGUGAAUCCAUCUGGCAUCUUUAAUAUUUCAUCAACAUUACAUUUUUUUAUCCCUAUCCUAACAUUCCCAAUUGCAUUCCCAAUAUUUGACCCUGUUCCUGGUUCCCAAAAUCCCUGUCCAAAAGGGAGUUUCAUCCUUCAUUAUAUCAAUAAUAAUCUUGAGUGUGAUUCAUGUUGUAAAGAGUACAACAUUAAUGUACAUGGAAACCCAAAGAACCAGUUUUUAUCCAUUCAGUGAGUGUCAAAAUUUUGUCUCUCUUUUUAGGCCUUUUGUUUUGUCUACAUUCAAAAUUUAUUCAUUAAAUGGGCUUAAUUUGUACAUUUACAUUUUAAUACUGCUUUCAACAUUUGCAUCAGAUGACUAACCUUUAUGCUUAAGGUCUUGCAGAUGGAAAGUUAAUAAACUCAAUUCCCAUGUCAAUGGUAUUAUAUUGGUAAACACGUGGCUCAAUCAUUCUUUAUAUUCAUGGCUUUUAUUAAAAUGGACUUAUUAUUGA